GGUAAAUCUCGUGCCAGCCACCGCGGUCAUACAAGAGGCCCAAAUCAACUGUCCACAUAAGCGGCGUAAAGAGUGGUAAUAAUGCUUAUCCUACUUAACUAAGAUCAAAAUGCGGCUAAGCUGUCGCAAGCACAAGACGCACCUAAACACACCAUCAAGAUGAUCUUAGAAACUAGCGACGGAUUUAAACCCACGAAAGCCAGGGCCCAAACUGGGAUUAGAUACCCCACUAUGCCUGGCCCUAAAUCUUGAUACUUAUCCUACCGAAGUAUCCGCCAGAGAACUACGAGCACAAACGCUUAAAACUCUAAGGACUUGGCGGUGCCCUAAACCCACCUAGAGGAGCCUGUUCUGUAAUCGAUAACCCACGAUCAACCCAACCACCCCUUGCCAAAACAGCCUACAUACCGCCGUCGCCAGCCCACCUCGAAUGAGAGCACAACAGUGAGCGCAACAGCACCCCCGCUAAUAAGACAGGUCAAGGUAUAGCCCAUGGGGCGGAAGAAAUGGGCUACAUUCCCUACACACUAGGGCAGCACGAAAAGAAGCAUGAAACUGCUUCUGGAAGGAGGAUUUAGCAGUAAAGUGGGACAAUAGAGCCUACUUUAAGCCGGCCCUAGGGCACGUACAUACCGCCCGUCACCCUCCUCACAAGCCACACCCCCACAUAACUAAUACCCUAAACAUGCCAAAGAUGAGGUAAGUCGUAACAAGGUAAGCAUACUGGA
rnacentral:rRNA from 1 species